ACAAGGGAUCUCUAACCUUCAAACCGUUUGAGGGAGAAUACUCUAUGAUAUGAUUAAAAUCUCUGGCCAGAGUAUGAAUGAGAUUUAGGAAUGCGUUCCAAAUCACAUUCAAGGUAAUCAUAUAAGCACACGAAUCACAUUGGAUAGUAGACAUGAAUAAAUAAACUAUCAAACCAAACAAUGUGGUCAAGAGUAUUGUAUUAGAGAAAGACCGUAUUGCAUUUAUAAUCCUAAACUGAAUAGGUUCUCCACCUCUUCUGAUUAGCUUGGGUAACCAUGAUAUGCUGC
rnacentral:lncRNA from 1 species